AUUGAACGCUGGCGGCAGGCCUAACACAUGCAAGUCGAGCGAGCGGCGGACGGGUGAGUAAUGUAUGGGGAACUGCCUGAUAGAGGGGGAUAACUACUGGAAACGGUAGCUAAUACCGCAUACUAUCAGAUGUGCCCAGAUGGGAUUAGCUAGUAGGUGGGGUAAAGGCUCACCUAGGCGACGAUCCCUAGCUGGUCUGAGAGGAUGAACAGCCACAAUGGAACUGAGACACGGUCCAGACUCCUACGGGAGGCAGCAGUGGGGAAUAUUGCACAAUGGGCGCAAGCCUGAUGCAGCCAUGCCGCGUGUAUGAAGAAGGCCUUCGGGUUGUAAAGUACUUUCAGCGGGGAGGCGUUACCCGCAGAAGAAGCACCGGCUAACUCCGUGCCAGCCGCCGCGGUAAUUC
rnacentral:rRNA from 1 species